CCCUUAGAUGUUCUGGGCAGCACGCGCGCUACAAUGGUCUUCGCAAACGGAUGCAUUCUCGAAGGAGAAUGCCAAUCUUGGACUCUAUGCCUUGGUCGGGACAGUUGCUUGCAAUUUUUCGACUCGAACCAGGAAUUCCUUGUAAUCGUGAUUCAUCACAUCACGAUGAAUACGUCCCUGCCCUUUGUACACACCGCCCGUCGCUCCUACCGAUCGAAGAGUUAGGUGAAUUGUUUUGAUCGAUAAGAUUUGACUAUGGUCAACUCUCGUUGUGAAAUUCUCUGAAUCUGACUGUUUAGAGGAAGGAAAAGUCGUAACA
rnacentral:rRNA from 1 species